GCUCGCUUGGUGAAAAUGGUAAACACGGUGGAUUUAAAAUCCGCUCCUAUAAAAGGUUACUGGUUCGAGUCCAGUAGCGAGUA
rnacentral:tRNA from 1 species